GUCCCGUAGCGCGACGGGUUGAGCGGUCGCCCUUUCAAGGCGAAGCAGCGGGUUCGAGUCCCGCACGGGGCA
rnacentral:tRNA from 1 species